CCUACGGGUGGCAGCAGUGAGGAAUAUUGGUCAAUGGGCGAGAGCCUGAACCUGCCAAGUCGCGUGAAGGAUGACGGCCCUACGGGUUGUAAACUUCUUUUGUCAGGGAGCAAUUGGGUCCACGCGUGGGCUUAGCGAGAGUACCUGCAGACAAAGCAUCGGCUAACUCCGUGCCAGCAGCCGCGGUAAUACGGAGGAUGCGAGCGUUAUCCGGAUUUAUUGGGUUAAAGGGGUGCGUAGGCGGAAUAUCAAGUCAGCGGGAAAAAUUCGGGGCUCAACCCCGUCGUGCCGUUGAAACUGAUGGUCUUGAGUGGGCGAGAGGUAUGCGGAAUGCGUGGUGUAGCGGUGAAAUGCAUAGAUAUCACGCAGAACUCCGAUGGCGAAGGCAGCAUACCGGCGACCAACUGACGCUGAGGCACGAAGGCGUGGGUAUCGAACAGGAUUAGAUACCCUUGUAGUC
rnacentral:rRNA from 1 species